rnacentral:rRNA from 1 species
UACAGAGGGGGCAAGCGUUAUUCGGAAUUAUUGGGCGUAAAGGGCGCGUAGGCGGUCCGACAAGUCAGGGGUGAAAUCCUGCAGCUUAACUGCAGAAGUGCCUCUGAUACUGUCGGUCUGGAGGGAGAUAGGGGUGUGCGGAACUUCCAGUGGAGCGGUGAAAUGCGUUGAUAUUGGAAGGAACGCCGGAGGCGAAAGCGGCGCACUGGAUCUCUUCUGACGCUGAGGCGCGAAAGCUAGGGGAGCGAACGGG